rnacentral:rRNA from 1 species
GAAAUCACUACGACAUGCNCGAUGUUANGCUAUCAACAUGGGCGNGUGGUUUAAAGAUCUCAACACUAGGCCGGUCGUUUACAGCCUACACAUGCAGUCGAACGGAGCACAGAAGCUGCUCCUGGGUGGCGAGUGGCGGACGGGUGAGAAUACAUCGGAAUCUACUCAUAGUCAGUAGAGAGGAGAAUAACAGUACGAGAGAAAACUUACCAGCUAAUAACCAGGCAUACGAACCAUAACGAGGUGAAAAAGCAGAGGAGAAUCAUAUCGAGACCCUAUGCGCGAAANGAAAAUNUGAAGCCGAAAGUCGAGAAUAUAAGCUAGAUAGGCGGGGNGAAUAAAAAGAGCACCACCAAAAGAGGACACGAAAACAGGAAAGUCCCCAGGUAACAGAACUUAGGAGUUCCAUUGGGANCAGACAGCGGAAGUCGNGAAAGUCGCAAAGGCUACGAAAACAAACGAAGGAGCAAAACCAGUUNNGAAAANGAAAACAACCCGGAGGNAUAGCACCCAAANNAAAACUAUCUCCCCUUAACCAGUAGGGUCGAACAGAGUNGGGCACAAUCGCCCAAGAAUNGAGGGGGCAGGAAACCGACNUUACAGUAUUCUAGGGGAAUGCCAAAAAUGAAGGAGAGCAGGNCCAAAAACAGGCCGCCAAUCUGNAAUAGUUAUCCCCAAAGCGUGCGCCCACAAGAUAGAANCCCCUUCGUGGGGGAUAUUCAAGGCGGNAUUGGAAACNNCGNAACACGAGGGGCCCCUAUAUACCAUUGGAGAGGGNAUAGAGGUAAUAACANUAGAGAGCGCNCCCCGG